rnacentral:rRNA from 1 species
AGUGAACGCUGGCGGUAGGCCUAACACAUGCAAGUCGAACGGCAGCACAGUAAGAGCUUGCUCUUACGGGUGGCGAGUGGCGGACGGGUGAGGAAUACAUCGGAAUCUACUUUUUCGUGGGGGAUAACGUAGGGAAACUUACGCUAAUACCGCAUACGACCUACGGGUGAAAGCAGGGGAUCUUCGGACCUUGCGCGAUUGAAUGAGCCGAUGUCGGAUUAGCUAGUUGGCGGGGUAAAGGCCCACCAAGGCGACGAUCCGUAACUGGUCUGAGAGGAUGAUCAGCCACACUGGAACUGAGACACGGUCCAGACUCCUACGGGGGGGAGCAGUGGGGAAUAUUGGACAAUGGGCGCAAGCCUGAUCCAGCCAUACCGCGUGGGUGAAGAAGGCCUUCGGGUUGUAAAGCCCUUUUGUUGGGAAAGAAAAGCAGCAGGUUAAUACCCCGCUGUUCUGACGGUACCCAAAGAAUAAGCACCGGCUAACUUCGUG